CUGUGUCCCUGUGUGCCUGUGUCCCUGUGUGCCUGUGUCCCUGUGUGCCUGUGUGCCUGUGUGCCUGUGUCCCCGUGUCCCUGUGUGCCUGUGUGCCCGGUGCCUGUGUGCCUGUGCCCGGUGCCUGUGUCCCUGUGUGCCUGUGUCCCUGUGUGCCCGGUGCCUGUGUGCCCGGUGCCUGUGUCCCUGUGUGCCUGUGUCCCUGUGUGCCUGUGUCCGGUGCCUGUGUGCCUGUGUCCCUGUGUGCCUGUGCCCGGUGCCUGUGUCCCUGUGUCCCUGUGUGCCUGUGUCCCUGUGUGCCUGUGUGCUCCCGCAUCUCCGGGCCGACACCGUGGCGUGCCGGUGCGGUGUGCGCGGCUGCUGGGAGCUGCUGUUCCCCGCAUGGCUCCGUGGGUUCCCGCUGUGGUUGUGCCGCGGGGUUGAGGGCCGCGGCUGGGACAGGGCCCGCACUGUGCUCGGGGGCCAUCCCAGCAGGGAUGCGAGCGGGUGCUGCGAGCGGGAAUUAUGUGGGUGCUGAGUGCUUUCAGUAUGCGUUGAGGCACACAGUCAUAGAACUUGGGUUUGUAUUGGAAAGGAUUUUUAAAGCUCAUUUACUCUAAUCCCUGUGCAAUAAGGAUGAGAGCAGGAACGUCUUCAACUCGAUCAGGCUGCUCGGAGCUCUGUGUGUCCUGACUUUGAAUGUUUCCUGGUACGGAGCAUCUGCUACCCUUCUGGGCAACGCGUGACAGUGUUUCACCACCUUCACCGUAAAAACGUCUUCCUUACCCUUAGUGCAGAUCCACGCUCUUUUAGUUUAAAACCAUAACCCCUUGUCCUGUCACUACAUGCCCUGCCAGAAAGUCCGUUCCCAUGUUUUUACAGGCUCUUUUAGGUACUGGAUUGCUGCUGUGAGGUCUCCCUGCAGCCUUCUCCAGAUGGAACAGCCCCAGUUCUCUCAGCCUGUCUCCAUAGGAGAGGUGCUCCAGCCCUCAGAACAUCUUUGUGUCCCUCCUCUGGACUCACUCCAGCAGGAGACGCUCUGUCUCGGCUUUGUGAACUCCUCCGUCCAAUUUGGAGACAGAAACCUUUGAAAGAGAAGCUGAGGUUCAUGUGCAAGCGUCGUGUCCCCAGCUGUAAGGAACACGCUCAGCCACCGAACAGCACGGGAGUUUGCUGAGGACCUCUUUCCGGAGCCCAGGGGUUCUGUCUAUCGAGGGAUGCUGUUCAGCCAUCCGGGCAGGAGCUGGAACAACACUCAGACUGAAAGUGUGCCUGUGUUCAGAAGUUAAUACAAAAUGAAGCUAUGGAAAGCAGCUGUCUGUCCUGCCUGAAAACAGUCAGAACUUUUUAGCUUAUAUGCUUCAGGCCACAGCUAAGUGACCUUUCUUUCCUCUCCCCCUCUUCUGUCCAGGAAGAAGAAAUGCGAUGAAAGCCUGACCUUUAUGUGUUUUGGUUGAAAGCUUUCUGUUCUUAGCUGUGAUCUUAGAAUGAUUAGGUUUCACGUGCUUGCUAUUUUUUGUUUUGUCAUUAUGGUACAUACAUGUAAAAAAGGUCUGUCAUUGCUUCAUGCUCUCCAUCUUCACAGAAGACAUAUGUGGUAUUCGUGUGCAAACCCAGAAAACUUUACUAAAUCAGUUCACAAUCUGAAGUUCAUUCAUAUCACCUUAUCCUCAUUAAAAGUCCUCACUGGCAGUAAUGAAUUUGGAAAAAUGCCAGUAACAGAAUUAGCCAAGUGGAUGGUGAGCUAUGUUAAGACCCUGAAUGACAACUGUAGCUUCUACUGUUAUAUGCAAAUAGAGCCACAUUUUUCCAUCCUGCUCUUCUGUGUUUUUUUAAAAUUUCACUCAGGCUUUAUGCCUUCAGAGUUGUAAGCACUGGGAGCAGGGAUUACCAUCACUUACAUUAGCAGAAUGCCUAAGAAAACUGGAUCUCAGUUUGGUCCUAUUGAAACAGAAAUUAGUGAAAUUCUACAGUAUCUGGUUGUGGAGGGUGAAAUAUUCCACAAUAAGAAAAGGCAAGACAAAAAAGAUUUUUACUGCUCUUUUCAUGGUCUGGAAAUCAGGUGUGGAAUUUGAAUAAGCAUGAAGGGAAAUUUUGGCAGAGCCUAGGCCUGGAGAGAUAUUUUUUCACCAUCAGCUCUGCAAUAUGCGUUAGGAGAGAGUGUGUUGGCAGCCCCCUUGCAGUUAGUGACUAUUGCCACUCUGAGAACCAUCCCCACAAGACACAUAAUUUUCAGCAGUGUUAGUAGCAGCAAUAAAGCUAAUAAUCCUCUUCACUUUGAUAAAAACUACCUGCAUGAAAGCAAGGUACUUCAGAGCAUACAACUCGCAUUCCUCCUCUCUUCCCAUUGUUUAAUUCUGUUGAGUUUAAACCCGAUGCUUGUUUUACUUUGUGCCUUUCUAAUUAAAUAUAGUAUGCCAAGAAAUAGUGCAGCCUUCUAAUGCUGUUUGUCCUCAAUUAACUUGAUCUUUCUGGGGGUUCAUUGUACUCUUUCUCCUUGUUCUUUGUCUCAUGUCUGUUUACACUGUAAUUGUCCUGGGGCCAUGUUUUUAUAUGUGCCUUCCACAGCAAGGCUGCAGUCUUAAUUAUUUGAAAGACACUAUCAUAAUAAGUGCAGUUAAUAAUAACUUUCUUCCUUCUACUUUGUCUGCUGCACACCACCUUCUGCCCACCCCUGACAAUACACAGUCAUUUAUUUGCUUUUUAAUUCCACAAUCUUCAUCUGCCUUUUUUUUCCCUCUUUUUUUUUUUUAAUUUGACAUUUACUUACAAAGUUGUUGUUUUCACUUUGUUAUUUUUUUGUGCCAUAUUAAGGCCUGUUCUGCUAGACCUUGUGCCAAACCAUACACAUUUCAUUCCCCAGAUAAUUUUAAAUGCAAAUAUAUGAGCAGGGGGAAGGAUGAGUGGACAGAGAGAUUUCUGGUCCUCAUACAUGAGCAGUGCAGUGAUCUGCUAGUGUGGAUAUUAUUAAUGUUAGUAAUUAUUGUGAGGCUCAAGAUGCUACUGAGAAACUUCUUCCACAUCAACAACUGAUCUCAAGGAGAUGGUUUCAAUAUUCCCUGAGGAUGCUGGAAACUGGUUCCAGUCAUUCUGUGUUUUGGGGUUAGUUUCAAAAUCAGAGAAUCACGGAAUCAUCUGAGUUGGAAGAGACCUACAAGAUCAUCUAGUGCAGCCAUCAGCCCAGCACCAGCAUAGUCCCCACUUAAAAUCUCCCCCCAGAACUAUUCAUUGUGGGUACAGUAAGCAGUUUGUAAUGCCCAGCAGAGAGUGAAGAUGCCCUUAGCUGGGUGACAGUGUGCUCACCUGGAGACCUGAGGUUUACUGUUGUUCAGACUUCAUCACUUGUUUUGUGGGAGCAGGAAGCAAGCUGCUGAAGUGCCUUACACCUCCAAGGAGCUCUUCCCUGCUGGCUCUGGGUGGAGGACUGGUCUUUCCUUGGUCCACAGUGACUAUCUUGCUGCUUCCUCAAUUGGAGCUAUGCUUACUAAUAUCUGGUCAAAAAGAUUUCAAGUGCAAAACAAGAUCAUCAGGAAUUUAUUAGUGAUAUUUUUGGGUUUAUGCAAUGCCUGGGGCCCUCGGGCAUGGAGCAGCAGCAGUGGGUGGGACAGCAGAGUUUUUGACCCUUAUCACUAACUCUGUGAUUAAUCUCCUGCACACUUGUGCUUACAAAGGUACUGGGUAUCUGGAGGGCUGCUUGCCCUGUGCACCUCUGUUUUCCUGGUUUUUCUGUAUAAUUCCCUCCUUCACUGGGCGUUUCAGCAGGGAAGCUUUGGGGAAGCCUUGGAGAGAGUCUCUUACUCCUCCCCACUCCCCAGUCCUGCUGGCAGCUGGCAUGGCCCCCCUCCACCUUCCUGCUGGUUAUAAUCGUGGCUGUGUGUUUCUGCAGACCCCUGGUUCAGAGAGGGGCCGUAGCCUCCCCUUUACACUCCUUAGUGUUCCUUUUCCCGUCAGUGUUUAUGAAAGACUUUCGCACAUAACCCAGAUGAAAAACUCCCUUGUGCCGAGCUGAGCAUUGCCAUAUGGCAGAGAACACGUCAGAGUAAACAUGUAUUUAAAGGACACAGAAAUUCUGCAUGUGUAGUAGGUCCAGAUUUCUGGAUCUGCAGUAGCUCAUUUACUCCUUUUCCAUCCACAGCUUUUGAAAGUUGCUUCCUACACAAACUUCUCUAUUUUUAUUCUAGCAAGAGACAGCAAAAAAUUAAAGUAAACCCCCGAAUUUUGUUGUAGUGAGUGGUAAAUGGUCAUUGCUAACUGAUGCCCUGCACAGAAUGUAUAAAUAUAGUUGAAACAGAUAAAGUUUUGUUUGAUUUCUGAAAUCUGCUCCUGUUGUGGGAAUUAAAACAAAUCUUUUGAAGAUGCAUGGUCUGCCAUUAAAUUGCUUGGGCUGAAUUACUGAAUCCAGGCAAAGAACCAAUUUUGCUCCCUGAAAAGUAAGGCUGACUGAAUUUGUUAAAAUGUUAAUCAUAGAGCAAGCCUGUGUGUCCCUGGGGCGAGAUGCAAUUAGAGUUAAAAGUUCACAGCAUAGAAAGUUUUUUAACUGUCUAGUUUUACAUCUUGACUGUAGGGAGAGGAGUUGCCACUGUACAUUGAAGACAUUGUUCUACAGCCUUUGCAAGUUGUUGGUUUCAGCUGCGAAGAUUUUAAAAGCUGCUUUUGUUGGCAGCCUAGGACACAUCCGUGACCUUAUUAAAGUGGAAGUGAAAGCUCUCUUUUUUUUUCUUCUUCUUUUUUUUUUUUUU